rnacentral:lncRNA from 1 species
UGAAAAUAAGGUGUGAUAUUCCUCAAUUGGAUGCCAUCGUGAUAAUCUUAAAAGUUAAAAUUAAGAGAGAAGAAGGAAAUAUAAUAAUACUCUUUGGCUGUCACAUCACUUUAAAAUACAUAAUCAUAAAUGAAAGGUUCCUCAAGUUAGGAAAAGAAAAAAUAAUAACCUUUUUUGGUACCCAUACAAUAUUUAAAUGACAUCUUUUGGAAUAUUCUAUCAUAAGGUAUAUUUUACAUUUAUUAUUUUAGCUUCUUGGACAAUAAAUCAUUCUCCUUUGCAGGGCAUUUUUGUACUCUCUGAGAUCUCAGACGCAAAAUCAGGGAGAUUACGAGCAUACUGACAUAUGUGAUCAAUGCACUUGAUAACUCUUAACUUGUUCACAGGUUUUGGACAAUCGUCAUCAGUUACACACGGAAAAUGCGCUGUAAUGAAAAGAGAUGAUAACAUAAUGUUACUAAAACAUUAGAAAAGAUUGUGUAUGCACUAUGAAGUAAAAAAGAAAAUGUGAAAAGGAUAAAAAAAAAAAAAAAAAAGCUUACCACCACGAAUUUUUACUGCUAAAAUAAUUAAGAAAAUAAAUAAAUUCAUGGCAUAAAAAUUCUUGAGAAUUUCAACCAUAUUUGUUUCCACUUUGCUUGUAUAAAAUAGAAUAUGAUUUAAUAUUUAC